GUGGGGAAUAUUGGGCAAUGGGCGCAAGCCUGACCCAGCAACGCCGCGUGAGGGAAGAAGGCUUUCGGGUUGUAAACCUCUGUCCUUGGUGACGAAAAAAAUGACGGUAGCCAAGGAGGAAGCCCCGGCUAACUACGUGCCAGCAGCCGCGGUAAUACGUAGGGGGCGAGCGUUGUCCGGAAUUACUGGGCGUAAAGGGUGCGUAGGUGGCCUUUUAAGUUGGAUGUGAAAUACCCGGGCUUAACUUGGGGGGUGCAUCCAAAACUGGGAGGCUAGAGUGCAGGAGAGGAAAGCGGAAUUCCUAGUGUAGCGGUGAAAUGCGUAGAUAUUAGGAGGAACACCAGUGGCGAAGGCGGCUUUCUGGACGAAAACUGACGCUGAGGCGCGAAAGCCAGGGGAGCGAACGGGAUUAGAUACCCGUGUAGUCC
rnacentral:rRNA from 1 species